rnacentral:tRNA from 1 species
GCCGGAGUGGCGAAACGGUAUACGCAGUGGACUUAAAAUCCGCCGCCUUCGGGCUUAGGGGUUCGAAUCCCCUCUCCGGCACCA